GCUCUUCUAGUAUACUAAUUACAAUUGACUUCCAAUCUCUAAAAUCUGGCCCCAAACCCAGAGAAGAGCA
rnacentral:tRNA from 3 species